rnacentral:lncRNA from 1 species
UGGGCUUUGAUCUGUUUUGGUUCUUUUUCAGUUCUAGGUGCAGAUGUUGGAGUCCCUGGACCCAAGAACUCAAAUCAUCAUAACAGGAUCCAGAAUUCCAAGCUGGGUAUUGCUGCCAAUGAAUGGGAAACAUUUAACAACUGGAUCCCCAUAAAAGGGGGAUUACGGAUGGCAUCAAUUCACGUGAAGCAAUACAGAACAAUGGAAAGAGCCACAGGAUUUAGAAUCACAAGACUUGGGUUCAAUUCAAGAUUGAUAUGCAUUGGCUUUAUGAACUUGGAUUCACAGACCCUAGAAAUCUAACCACAGACCCUUUGCAAGACCGUGGACCAAGAAGCCCUGUACUCAAGCAUGAGUAGCUAGCUAUGUCACUGGAUGUUCUUCUCUGUUGAGUCCCAUAAUAAGAAACAAUCAGCCAAAGCUGUAUCUAACUACUGAAAAACUCUUGGGUGUGUGCUGGCCCAUAACAUGAAAUCGUCUGAGAGCCUGUCCCCAGAGGGAAAUGCUCUAAUUGAGGAACCUUAGGAUUCUACUUUAACAGGAUGACCUUUCUGUCCAUCUCCCCACC